rnacentral:lncRNA from 1 species
CGCCAUUUAUUGUUUUUUUUUUUUUUUUUAAUCGGAGCUCUUGUCCCCAAACCUUUUUUACGCACUCACCAUGAGUAUGCGGUGCAAGCUUAGAUGGCCGCCGAAUGGAAGCUUAUGAUACUGUUAAAAUUGUUGUCGCCGGAGAUUUGUAAUUAACAAUUUAUAUUUACUGUUUAUUUUCUUUCACUUUUAAUUUGAAUGAGGAGAAGAAAUGAUGAAUUUGGAUUUUUCUCAUUCUAUCUGCUGUGCAAUCUCUGCUUAUAAUUAGAAGAAACGAUGCUUCGACCUUGUUGUUUGUUUUUCUACCUCUCAUGCGGGUAAUCACUUAUCUGUUUGAGUGGAAACAACAACUUGUGGUUUAUGUUGGAUUCAAGUACCAGUACAAAGGAAAAUGUUAUUUUAGUGCAAGAGAAAAAAAUAUUAAAAGAUUGAAUGAGGUUGUGAG